GAAGGACAUCCAGAUUUGGACUCCUCCAUCUUACACUUCCCAUGCAAGCUUUCCUGGAGGGGAAUCUGUCCUCCCUCUGUCAACUCUCUCACCCACCCUUCACUUCUCACCCUGCUGACAUGUGGCCUCUCCCUGUCUUCCUUUCCAGCAGCCUCAGUAGAUCACAUUCAACCGAUCACCAAGCCCCUUCACCUGACAAACCAAAGCACAUCUUCUGGGAUUCCUAAGGCACUUGCCCUGCCAGGGUCUCGUAAUUCCUGAAUUCUAAUCUCGUUUCACUGGUAGUUCACUUCUCCCAGGUCAUGUGAUUUAUCUCCAUCUUCCUCUGUUUAUAUGGUUUCAUGGACUUUUCUACAUCUUCGCCUAAACCCGAGGACUCUUCACGUCAUUCCCAGGUGCCCUCAGCUCUAGUGUUGCCUCUGAUUCCCUGCUCUCCUAUCAUCCCACCAACGCUCAUCCCAUCACAGACCCAUGAGUGCAGCAGUGUCUUCUCUGGCCUCCCUGUCUCCAGUGGUGAAGUUGGGGAAGGAUGGCCCCAUGUAUGCCUCCCACCCUAAUGUUCCUACUUCAGGGUAAGCUCCCUGAGCAGGGAUGAGGCUGUCUAGCACAGCCUGGCAUUCCACUGCCAACCACCAGACUCAACACCAGAUUGGAAAACAGCUCCAGAGGAAGGAUAUCGUUUGUUUGAGGUCACCCGGUUUGCGAAGAUGAAGUCAGAAUUUAGAGCCCAUGUUGUUCACCGAUGAGUUACGUCACUAACCACGUUCCAAAGUGAUGCUAGAUGGAAAGAAUGCUGGUGCUUCAGAGUCCUGGGGCAACCUUGAGAAGCUGCAGAGGAGUGGAUGACCACGAGCUGGGGCUUGGAAAAUAAUGAAACCCAAACCAUCAGGAACGGUAUCACUUGAGCAGAGCAUAGGUGCAAGUACCAUCCGUGUUAUAUGCAGAAACAUUCACCUUGACCCCAGGGGGGAUCUGGGCUGAGACUAGAUGACUGAAAUCUCUGGGCGAUGGUGAACACAGAAUUGGGGGACAGCAGAUAUGAAGACGCACUGAGCCACAUGCCAGACGCCCCAAGCGCAGAGAGAGCUUGUGAGCUUCUAGCGGUGGAGACUUGACACACUGCGGGAGAGGAAAAUGAAGUUACUGGACCCACUGAAACGGGACUCAUUGAUCCUCUAGCCCAUGGUGGGCAGUGUGCAUCAGCAUGGUCCUUCAGACGUAAACAGCACAGCCCAG
rnacentral:lncRNA from 1 species